UUGCACUGAACGGUCUUGCCUGCCUUUCCCAUGGUGGUAUUAGACCAGUUCAGUGCCAAAUGAUCUUCAGUUUGCAGAAGGGCUGUGCUUGAUCUCUGGCUCAUCCCUUUCGAAGGCUGAGAACAUUU